rnacentral:lncRNA from 1 species
UCCUGAACAGAAGGGGACUGAAACAGUUUAUAGUGAAAUCAGAAAAACUAAUAAUGCAGAGAAUAUAUGGGCAUCCUGAUGCUACCUAGUACAGUCACCUUAAAGAUCAACUGGGAGAAGAAAACAACAUGAGAUGGAAGAUGUUGCAAGUGUUUCAAAGGCUUUGCAGCAGUUAUUUAUGAGUUAGCCAGACUCGUCUUUUCAAAGUUUAUUUCCUUAGGAGGAACAAUAGAGAUGUUCCUAAAGCAUUUAAUGGAAAAAAAUUACAAAUAAAAAUUCUCAUAGGAAAGUGGCUCUAGAAACCACUGACCGAGGUUCUCAUCUCUAAUUUCUCCUGCUAAUGCAAUUUUACCUUUUUUGCCUCCAGUUCAUCAUGCUCUAAGGAAACAAAGGGGGAGCUACAGCUGAGGAAGUACAUUUCUACAAUGCAGCAACUACUGUGAUACCAGUAGGACAUAGAAAUAUCUAAGCUUGCUUUAAACUUGCUAAGUUGGUUGUCAGUGCCACCACUGUGGCAGAACAGAGCUCAGCACAGCCUGGCCAGCCAUGGAUGUACCUUGACAUGAUCUUGCAGCUUGUGCUGAGCUCCCUGUGCUGCAGCAGCUGGACUGCUACCAGGCUUGGAGCCAGCUCAGUUAUAACCCACAGGGAUGUGACACUGCAGGGAGGGCCUGAGGGAAGAGUGAGCUCUGUAAAAAAACUUGAAUAACUGUUCAGAGAUUCAGACUUUACCAAGUGCUUCUAUCAGAGGCACAAACAGUCUUUAUUCUUCACUAAAUUGCUUUUCCCCUUUAAAAGUUCUGAUGUUUGUUGGUUUAUUUGAUGUGGUGGGUCUUCAUGAAAUGAUUGUCCAUCACAGUUAUUUUGGAUGAUUCUAUGAUAAGUCUUCAUUGAGUGGAUAUAAAACACCCAGGUCAGUGAGUUUGUACCUGAAAAUCCUGUUAUGUACAAUCCUUACUCCUCUGAUUUUAUGAGAGAUCUGAAGUUGUACUUGUGCCCAGUUUGUCCGGUAUGGAAUUCCAUACCUAUCCUUUUUCAUUAUAGUAUGAUAAACCAUUAACAUGGAUCUAGUUUGGACACAGAUGUAAUCCUGCAGCCCAUGUUUAUCUCGGCUGCAUUAAUUUAAAAGAAGAACACAAAACAGAAGAGAAAAAAUAUUGUCCUUAACCCCUUAACCAGAUGGCCUUUGACAUUGCAGUUGGUCCCUUUUUCGUACUGCAAAUUAAAUUCCUACAACAUCUGGGCCACAGGUAAGAAGGUUCUCAUUUUAAUUAGAAAAGAGUAAAAAAGAGGUCAUGGAUUUGUAUAUAGAUAUACAACUACUGCUUUAAGCACUGCAUCAACGGUGCAAAACCAGCAAGAAACACAAAAGGGGUUUAUAUCUUCCAUUCCAAAUGUUUAAAAUU